CCGCGUUGCAUGCCGGUAUAGUCCUCACUGUCUCUCCUCUGCUAUUGCUGAAUUCGGAUUUCCAGACAUAAUUUUGUUGGUUUAUUGUGUCUUUUUAUCGUGGUCUUUCACUUAAACUGUCCUUUCAUUUCAACUGGUCUUUCAUUCUCAGCAAGGUAGAUCAAUGUUAUUGAUAAUUUUUUUUAAUAAUAGCGAUUUUAUUACGUUUGUGAGUGAAGUUUGGGGCGAUGCUUAAAAAAUUAUGCAGAUAUCAACGACACUUUUAAUACGUUUACUAGUUGUUUUCAAGUAAAAAAAGCAGGGCUUAAAGGACAAUGGCAAUACAUUUUUCACUCUCGAUAUCUAUUAAACAUACCUUCGGAAUACUUAAUUACGUAUUUUCAC